AUCCAGACUCCUACGGGAGGCAGCAGUGAGGAAUAUUGGUCAAUGGGCGGAAGCCUGAACCAGCCAAGUCGCGUGAGGGAUUAAGGCCCUAUGGGUCGUAAACCUCUUUUGUCAGGGAGCAAUGGCGUCCACGUGUGGGCGUAUGGAGAGUACCUGAAGAAAAAGCAUCGGCUAACUCCGUGCCAGCAGCCGCGGUAAUACGGAGGAUCCGAGCGUUAUCCGGAUUUAUUGGGUUUAAAGGGAGCGUAGAUGGGUUGUUAAGUCAGUUGUGAAAGUUUGCGGCUCAACCGUAAAAUUGCAAUUGAUACUGGCAGUCUUGAGUACAGUUGAGGUAGGCGGAAUUCGUGGUGUAGCGGUGAAAUGCUUAGAUAUCACGAAGAACUCCGAUUGCGAAGGCAGCUUACUAAACUGCCACUGACAUUGAUGCUCGAAAGUGUGGGUAUCAAACAGGAUUAGAUACCCUUGUA
rnacentral:rRNA from 1 species